GCUAUUGGUCCGGAGCUAGUGGGUUAUCUUUCAAACUGAAAACGCACCCCAUUGGCACAAACUUGACCGUUAG
rnacentral:sRNA from 1 species